AUGGAACCUGAGGGAGUGAGCCGUAUAUUUGCCCGCUCAGUGGUGACAAGGAAUCUCCAAUAUACUGGCUAUAUAGGGGAUGGAGAUUCAAAGUCAUAUUCCUCCAUAAAGGCCAGUAAGCCUUAUGGUGAUAAAAUUAUUGCAAAAAUUGAAUGUGUUGGGCAUGUUCAAAAGCGGAUGGGAACUGCCCUCAGGAAGCUGAAGGUACAGAAAGGAAAAACAAAGCUAGCAGAUGGCAAAUCAAUUGGAGGAGUUGGCAGACUUACAGCUGCAAGAAUUGAUAAGCUGCAGGUAUAUUAUGGGCUUGCUAUUCGUCGCCAUAAGAACAAUGUUGAUGCCAUGAAGAAUGAGGUAUGGGCAGGCCUUUAUCAUUCUGCAUCAACAGACGAGAACCCGCAGCAUCAAAACUGCCCCACAGGGCCGGGUACUUGGUGCAAAUAUAACAAGGCACUGCUGCAGAAAAAACUUUUCAAGCACAAAAAUCCACUGCCUACUGCCAUUGUAGAUGAAAUAAGACCUAUCUACAAGAAGCUGACAAAUGAUGAUAUAAUGAAUGGGUGCCUUGGCGGCUACACGCAAAACAGCUGUGAAGCCAUAAAUCAUUUGAUUUGGUCAAGGUGUCCAAAAAUUUCCCACUCUGGGAGAGAUCAUCUGGAUGCUGCUGUAGCUGCUGCUGUAGUGGCAUUCAAUGAUGGUAGCAGUGGCCUUGCACGUGUUUUGUCCCAUGUUGGAAUAAACCCUGGAAGCAACAUGCUUUUAGGACUGUCGGCAAGGGACCGUAAGCGGAAAAGAGAGAGUAACAUUAAUGCAAGUAUUGUGGCCAAAAAGAUAAGACAAUCCAGGAGGAAAAAGAAAAAAAGUAUUGAGGACAGUAUUAUAGAUAAGGAGGGAAUUUUGUAUGAGGCAGGGGCCUUCUAAGGAUGAUUUUAAAAAUUUUAAGCUUGUGUUUCUUUUCACCAAUGUUUAAAGCUGUUUUUCUAGGAACGACAAAUGCUGUGUUUGAACGAUCUUGUGACACCUCUCAAAAUCUCAUUUUUAAAGAUAUCUAUGCCAAAUUUUCACCAGUUAUAAACAAGACUGUGAAGAUUGCAACUAACUAAUGGAUUUCAGCUGUGAUUUGGUGACUUACCACAGGCAGUGAUCAAAUUUUUGCUAAAUUGUCUAAACCGAACCCCCUUCAAUAAGAUUGGUAAUUAUUCAAAAAUAAAAAAAGAUAGCUUAAUGUUGGUAGUUCAUUGCAUUGAGUAACUAUCAGUUAUCACUUUAUCAAAUUAUAAAGGAAUAACUGCUUAUCUACUGCCAUCAGUUGCUGUCACAAAAUGUUCAUGUAUUUCGUGAUGUUAGACAUGAAGUAUUUGAUUAAUUGGUAAUUUUUUUGUGUAAAUCCUGAUUUUGUGAUAAAACAUGUUAUAUUAGCAAGAUAUUUUAUUCUGAACUUCUUCUGGUAGCUAGAUAUCACAUAACCCUGAGAGUGACCUUCAUGUCAGUAUCUACAUUAAUACUUAAAGCAUAAACGUCUUAAAACUGUCUAUUAAUGAUGUUAAUGAAACCAUCUAAUAUUUUGCCGUUUAACAUUCUACUCCUUUUGACAAUUUUAGCUUUUCCAACUUGAAUAGGAAUCUUGGACUGUUCUUGGUCAGAAGACUUGUUUUGGAUCAAGUCAAUGAGUUCCUGAAUAAUAUCAAACUCUAUAGUACUAGUAUGCAACAGGCUGAUUGAUAUGAUGGGGAACCCUAUCCAACCAAUGGCACUUUUCAUUAACCUCUCAUUUGUUACUUCAAUCUGAAAGACUCUUUGCACCGUUGGAUAUCUCUUAGAUCAUAGCAAGAAUCACCUAUAAGGACACCCCAUUGUACACUUUCAGAAUUUUUGGCUUUCAAAAUUCUUUCUGCUUAAUUUAAAACAACCACGCAAGGAAUUCUAGAAGGCAAUUCUUUGAAAGCUCGAAAAAUAUCGUUUAAUACCACUAUUUUAGGUAUUUUAUUCGGAAGGACGUCUCUCACUUGAAAAUCAUUGACAUCUCUUCCUCUGCCUUUCUUGGGUUGUAGCCUUUACUGUCACAUUGGAAAAAUUGAAAAAAGCAGAAAUUUAUAGAAAUAGGUCAUAGACAAAUACAGUCUCCACUACCUUCUUCAAAAUUCUUUGAAUACCUAAAUUCAGUCGAAAGGGAGUCGCAAAAGUACUGUCGACAUGAAUAAAAGAAAGUGGAAUAAGUCCUUCAUAUCGAAUUGAGAACCUUAACAAUUAGAAGAAAGGGAACAUCAGUUUUUUACUCACUUUUUGCAGCCUAGCGUUAGUCUCCUUUACCGUGGAAGAUGACAACUUCUCUUGCUUAGCCUACAAAGAAAAAAAAUUGGAAAUAAGUCCUCCACAACAAAUCGAGAACCUUGACAAUUAGAAAAAAGGGAACAUCAGUUGAUUUACUCACUUUUCCUGAGACAUUUAUUGGUUGCUUUAAGUAAGCAGUGGUAGGGAAAAAUUCUUCUGAAUUAACAGUGUCAGAGUUUCUGAUCCUGGGAGAUCUCUUACUCCAAUCAAUACCUUAAAAAAAUUAAGAAUGCAUAAUGUAAUUACACCGCAAAUUCGAAAUCCUUUAUAUAUAGAACAUAAGAUGGUAAUGGCUAAAUUCUUUACUGUUCCCUUUACUGUUACCAUUGAAUAAAGACUUUUGAUUUUACAUAUAAAUUGCCUGUCAACAAGCAAGAACAUAUCCCUGUCAUCAGAGUUUCUAAGCUUUCUCUUCAGUGAAGUCUUGACAAAAGUGAAUUUUUGGUAACAUUCUCGAUGAUAGCAUCAAUCUUCUCCAAUAUUUUCUGGAACUCCUCUCCGUGGUGAUUAAAACCACUUUGUGACUCAUGUAAUAACUUACAGUAUUGCAGGGUUUUCAAUGAAAUCUCGCUACAUUUCACUAAUUUGACUGUUGUUUCAAUCAAAUCGUAGUCUUUGUAAUCAACAAGAUCCAUUUACCAUAAUCACUUUUCGGAAAUCAAUUAAAAAUGAAAACUCAUUUAGGCCUAUGAAUUUAAAAAACAUGAGGAAACUCGUUCUCAAAAUAUAAUAAAAUGAAACCGAGGCAUGUAACAAGCCCUAGCCAAAACACAACUUCAAGGAUCUGUCAGUGGUAUGAAUUCACAGCAGAGUUUAUUUCAAACCAGAAUUGAAGGAGAGGAUCAUCCCAGAAAUAAAGACUCGCUGGAGAAAAAGGACCUCACCAAAAUUUGAUGUUACUUUCAAAGGUCAAGAACUACCAACACCUUCAAAAGAAGCAUUCAAUCCGGUUGAUUAUUUCAAUCAGUUUUUCAGUGAAGAUCUGAUUCAGCAUAUUGCAGAACAGACUAAUCUUUAUAAUGUUCAACAAACUGGGGUCUCUGUCCAAACAAGUAAGAGCAAGAUGGAGCAAUACAUUGGUAUUUGAGACAUGAUGUUAAUAAUAAAGCUUCCUCAAAUAAGAAUGUAUUGGGCAAAGAAAUGAAACACUUGUUUCAUAAAUUUAUGAAAAAAGGACAAGGAAACAAGGAACACUGCAAUUAUAACUCAAACUAUAUUCCUACUCGACAAGAAGGUCUUAAUAAGCUAUUCAAAAUUCUACCUGGUGUUGACUCAGUUCUUCAAGAAUAUUGGAGCAUUCCACAAGAGGCAAGGCUAUCUAUUGAUGACCAAAUACUACCAACAAAAGCUUGCACAAGUGUCAAGCAAUAUUGUCUUAAGAAGCCUUACAAAUGGGGAAUGAAAGUCUAGGCUAGGUGUGGUGUCAGUGGAUUGUUCUCUGAUUUUGAAGUUUAUAGUGGAAAGUGUAACGACAGAAGAAAUGCCAGAAUUGCUCAUGGCUGGAAAUGUUGUGCGUCUAUUAUGUGAUACGUUACCACAUAACAUGAUUCCUAAAAUCUAUUUUGACAACUUUUUAAGUUCUUUGCCCUUUCUUCAGCACUUAACCAAGAAGAAAAUCUGGAUUGUUGCAACUGUUCGAAAAGACAGGAUGAUAUGGUUUUUGGUAUUUCAGGGGUCCUGCUGGAGACUAUUUCAAAAAGUAGACAAAAGAAAAAAAAUUCAAUGUUAUCAUUUCAAAAGGUAGAAAAAAGCUCCAUGUUAUCAAAAAAUCACUGAUUGACCCAUUUUGGCCAGCAGAUAUGAGGUCUGUGUGUAGCUCCUUGGCAGGGAGGAAGCAAGGAAAGAUGGAAAGUGUGGAAGGAUUUUCUUUGCCAAGGAAUUUUUCGCUGUUUUCUUCAAGAUGUAAUCAUGAAGUUAUUGAAAUUACACCUUGUAAACAUUGUAUUUUGAAUCUCAAACCACAAUUAUUGAAACCAGUUGUGACAGUCUAUCUAAAGACCUUCAAUGAUGCCAUACGAAUUGCUUUGAAGGUCAGAUUUGAGUUGUAAAGAAUUUUUGCAUAUCUGCAGAUAUAUCAUCAUGGAAAUAAAUAGCAUUGCUGAAAAACAUUGUUUUUGCACUACGAAGCCCACACUUUUAGUGUUUUUGGGGAACCACUUUGGGUAGGAAAUGCAGAGGCCCCUAAACUGGCACCAGUAAAGAGCAUCACAUAGAAUGAUUCAUUACAAGAAGGGUUAUUUGUUUACAACAAUCUGAAAACUGUGUAUGAAAACAACAAAAUUAUGUUAUUUUCGAAAUGUUUAUAUUAUGGGAGAAAGUGGUGCAGAAAUUUAUUCGGAUUAAAAUGAAUCAUUACGUGCCACAUCCCGAAUGCUUAUAAUUGGCUCUGAAGGAUCAACUGAAGAUAACUUUGAAAACAGUUAUGCCGGCUUCUGUACUGUUGAUUUUCAACCAAACCAGGACAAGCUGAUAGCUGAUCAAGACUGGUUGGAUAAUUUUUAUAGAGGUGGCAUAAGAAGAGAAAAAAAACCCUUGUGCAAUUGGUAAGUUACUUUUUUAAUUGGAUUCUGUUGACAAAGUGCAUCCAAACAGAGAACUCAAUUUUUUAUGUGUCAUAUUUGUUAGUGAGAUGGCCUCAACCCAACGUGAGCCCAGGUUUUGCCAAUUUCCUUGCAACAAACCCCUAGCACAAUGAAAAAAUAGUACUUGAUAGAUUUGUGAUAGCAGGCCUAGUUGGACUGAAGGCCUAGUUGGACUGAAGGCCUAGUUGGACUGAAGGCCUAGUUGGACUGAAGGCCUAGUUGGAGUGAAGGCCUAGUUGGACUGAAUGCCUAGUUGGACUGAAUGCCUAGUUGGACUGAAUGCCUAGUUGGACUGAAGGCCUAGUUGGACUGAAGGCCUAGUUGGACUGAAGGCCUAGUUGGACUGAAGGCCUAGUUGGACUGAAGGCCUAGUUGGACUGAAGGCCUAGUCUGGGGCACUAGAUAAAUGCUUUAGUUCUGCAUGUUUUACUUCAAUGUUAUUCAAUGUAAAUUAACUGAGAACCAACUUUGAUUAUCAAAGUACUGUUGUUACAAAAUCCAACUUGUUUGAAUAUACCCUUUUGAAUACAUGUUGGUUCUACACCGACAGGUCGCAAAAAAUAUUUUUAUUGGAAGCUAGUUUUAAUUGAAGUUAAUAAACAAAUUACGCGAGAAUUCUUCAAGGAUAAACCUUGUGCCAAAGAAAAUGCACAGAAAUGGAUUGUUUUUAUUGUGGUAGUUUUUUGUACAAGUAAAAUUUUGUUUCAAUAUUUCAAUAUUGUUUACUUCCUCUUCUGUUUACUUCAUAUUUUCAUUUUGAAAAGGCGACACUGUGGCAAAUGCAAAGUUGAAAACCUGGUCAAUACUAAGGAGUAUCAAUGUUGUCUUGAAAUUGAAAGAUGUUCAGAAGUAAUAAGUGAACCUGGUUUUGUGGAAGAAUCUGGUGGUGUAAUGGUUUGUGUUACACAUCACCUAGGUUUCUGACCAGUUUUUUCUUCAACCAUGGGCUCUGUUAGAGCAGGUCAGAAAAUUGGUAAAGAUAAAAUCAAAUAGAGACAACUCAUUGUCCAAAUGUCAUAAUUUUUUGGUUCAAGUAAAAAAGCAUAAAAUAUUUUACACAGAUCAUAAAAGAUUGAUAUUAUUGUUUUCAGGUUUUUACAUUCAAUUUACUAUUGGCAGUUUACCAUGGCCAAAUUGGUAACAAAAUAAUACCACUUCAAGCAUGUGCAUACAAUGCUAUUAGACAAAAUUCCAAAUAGUGACGAUGAUUAGUAAAAUGAACUGAAUAAAACUCAAGUUUUAAAAAACAAAAUAUUAUUAGCAUAGAUAUAUUCCUCUUAUAAAUUAUUGUUUUUUAUAUUUGAGGUAAUUUGUGGAGUUCUUUUAUUAUACAUUUGCUGUUUGGGCUGUUACUACUUCAACUCAUACACAGUAAAUCUUCAUGACUGGGGUUUAGGAAUGUGUAAAAGAGUGUAGGGAGGGUACAAAAUGGUGCAUUUCAUUAAAGAAACCUAGAAAUGGAACAUGAUAAAUUACAAAAAAUAGAAAUAGGGAAUAGGGGGUAUGCAAUUUAUCAAAAUUAAGUUCAUUUGUGUUCCUUGGACAGUUAAAAUCGUUGUUCCCUUUCAUUGAAUUCUUGCAGAUUUUGCAACAUAGAAUCAUCUUCUCUUGUGGUACAUAACAUUUAACAUUUGUCUCUGAAAUGAUUACUAACAGAUUCUCUUAAGGAAAAUAUGAAUUUAAACUUUAUAAAAUUUUGAAUGGUACCCAAGAUUCUUCUGCAAUUAAUCAGAUUCCAAAUAAAUGUUUAUAGAAAGUAACUAACCUUGCGGCUGUGAUGUUGAUGGAACCACAGAUAAAUUAUUGACGGCUCUUUAGAAAGGUAUAAUUAAGACAAAUUACAUGACAGUACUAUGCACUGUAUAUUUUGUAAUUUUGGAGUCCUGGCCCCAAAUUUCCUUAUUUGGGCAAUUUGGUCCAACAAUAAAUUUUCCAAUGUAUUUCAACUAAUAAUCACCACAGUUUAAUCAUUGAUGGCUCAUUAGAAAGGUAUAAUUAAGACAAAUUACAUUAAAUUAGACUAAAUUACAGUCACCUUCCUGUUGUUUGUACGUUCUUUUUUGACUAACCAUCUUAAUAACCGAUUCUAUUGUUAUCUUCACCAAUGAUUUAAAAUCACCUUUUACAGUUCUAAAGUAACUUCCAGUUUUGCUUGCCUUGGCUGCAAUUUUUCACGAGCCAAACAAAUUCCAUUUGUAGUGGGAAAUAUGAUUCCUUUUGUUUGCAAUAUUGAUCAAAUUUUUAAUAAUUGUUCUUUUGUUAAAACUAGCGUGUGCAUCAUCACAACUGCAUCUUCAACAGUGUAAUCAUGUUCACGUCAAAUUCAUUUUUAAAUAUCUUUUUACCAACCAUGGACAGACUUUUAUUUGACUAAAUGUUAUCUCUGUAGAUAAUAUAACCCAUCAAUUCAGUGACAGAAACUUUCACUAUCCAUGAAUUCAUGAAUUCUUUCAAUAAGUUGAUUCGUUUGUUUUUUUUUUGCUUUGAAAGAUAGUGUUCCAAAUGGUUUACGUGGAGUAGAAUAUUCAGACAGAUCAGUACUUUUUCGCUUUUUGUUAGCAUCAUUUCCAAUACACCUAACUUCAUUUGACGCCUUUCUUAUUUCUGCUUCUAACUCUACUCUAGUUCUAUUCUUUUUUAAAUUUCUGUACUGUUGCAAAUUAGCUCUGAUAAUUUCAUUAUGGCUAUCUGUCAAAGCAUCUUGAUUUAACCAAUAUAACAAUACAGGUUCUACAUCAUGUUGCUGCAACUUCCUCUUCUUUUUUACAACUUCAUCAACCUUACUUAUACACAACUCGAAAACAUUUUCUUAAGGAAUAGCAAUUCCCUCGUAAAAGACACUGCAACUUCUUAAUUUGAUCUUUCUUCUCAUUUUAUUUUGGCAGACAAGAGGUUCACAAAGCAAAAACGGCAAAUUGGAUAAAUUUUUAUUGUAUUUUUUCUAGCAAUUAUUAUGUACAAGAAAUAUGUUUUUCUUUUAUGAUCAAAACCUGUCAUUUUCUGAUCCUGUAUCCUUUGAUGGGUAUAAAAUGUUGGAAAUGAUACCAUUUUGCCAAUGAUACCAUGUGCUUGAAAACAUUAAACACCUUGGUUGCAGAUGUUCCAGCAACUAGGAUUCCAAAUGAUAGGAGCGAAUUCCCAGGGAAGAUCUUUCUAUUUGGGAUGGUUGGAUGCCUUCUCGAUGUCUAUAUGUUUAUGAUUAUUUGGGAUGAUUUCCAUUAUAAUGAUUCUUUUAUCAACUUAAAAGAAACGAACAGUCACAGCUAUUAGCGUAGGCCAGUAAAAGUGUUCCUUCAAAUGAUGGUAGAAUUUAUCUGUUGCAAAGUGACCAAGUUUAUGAUAUUCACUGACAACAGUUUUCUGAAAAUUUGGUGGUAAAACUGAUCUGCCUGAUUUUGUUAAUAAUCUGUCAGUAACCCAAAGCUGGCGUUGCACCUUCUUGAAGCUAACAACAACGAUUUUGGUACCCGUUAGGCACCUCUUGCAGAACGAAUACAUGGAUCAUGUGUUUGUUCUUCCUUGAAUUGAUGGAUAAAAUGAUCUUUAUUGAUGAACGAUAUCGCCAUCAAAUUCUGGUGAAGGUUAGAUAUGACAGGCUGCUAUGUUAUCUGAUAGUGCAUCUGCUUUAACAUUGUUCUUGCCACUGUGGGUUAGCAGGUUAUGGAAAGAAUUGAAAACAAACUGUGUUCCGUCAAGAUACUCACGCCAAUGUCUAACAGCCAUGAUUAGAGCGAAUGCUUUUUUAGAAGUAACAUACCAAUUUUUCAGGGAUUGCUGUAGUGCGGUUGAGUAAUAUGCUAGCGGAUGCAUGCAGAUGCAUUGUGAAAGAACCCCUCCAAAAGCAUGGUUUCUACUAGGGCUGUCUACUGAAGGUCAAAUAAUUGGUAUUUUUUUAGAAAAAGAGGUAGUUUCUGUCUCUUCAGGCCUUUUUUACUCUCUAAAACACAGUUUUAAAGUAGUAGAAAAUAUGGUUGAUCUGCCAGAAGCUCCCCCUUAAAAGACCUCGUAUAAUUUAAUAGAAAUUUCUUUAUUACGAUUCAAUUAAUUAUUAUCAAAAAUAUGAAAUUUUGUGGUAAUUCAAAAACACCAAAGGCAACCUCAGAUGGCAACAAUCAACAAAUCGAGGGGGCCAACCCUGAGGAUUUACGGUAGCAAUGGGGCUUAUUCGAGGGGGGGGGGGGCUUAUUGACAUAUGGUAGUUCUAGGGUGGGGGUUUUUUGGAGAGAUUUACGGUAACCCAGUGAAUUAGAUCAGAAGAUAAAGCGAGGCUAAUGAGGCAUAGAUUUAUUGAGGCUGUGCGUUUGUUGUUUGUACUAGUAACAAAUCAGUUGCAUUCAUUAUUGAUCGUCUCUUGAAAUGGCUGUGUGGGGAGCAAAGAAUGCACAUUUAUGAACGAUGAAGUGUAUGGCUGAACAUCUUCUUCACCUCCUCCAGAAAAAGUCUCCCACAGAAGUGCAUCUAGUGACAAUUUCAUUUAGAUUGUCUUUAAUUUCAUUAAUAUGGAAUAUGCAGAUUAAGCCUCUUAGUAUGAUUCGAAACGAAUAAAUAUCACUUUGGACGGCGUGAAUUGCAUUCCCGUUCAAAACUUCGGAAUCUAUGUGUGAAUCAAAUGAUCUGUAGUGUCUUUUAAAGUCAUUUCCAAUUCCUGUCGCCUCUCCAAAAUCUAAGAUUACAGGGAUCCAUUCUGGCAUUUUCUCCCCUGCUUGUUUUCAUUAUCACUACAUUAUCGACCACUAGAUCGUUGUGCUAAAAUCGAUUUUUGUGAACAUGAUGCAGUGCACUUGCUAGCUUGACCAAAAUUUCUAGAAGACAUUCUUCUGUAACAUCCUCUAAUCACCCAUUGUUUCUUGUACAGAGCUGCAAGACCAAUGCAAUAGCCCUUGAGUUUAAAGGAAUGGCAUUAGCAUAGAAAUGCUUUAUGAGGACUGGGUUUAUUAGUGUUCUAGCUUCUCCUACUGCUCGAUCUUUUUGGUGAAAAUUCAGGAAUCUCUUUGAACUCUUUAACUGCAACUGCAAGCUUGCGAUAUUGAAUAAUUUUGAAAGAAGAAUAUUUCCCUUUCUCUAUACCUGUAUCGCCUUCAAUUACAUUCUCAAGCAUAUCCCGUUCAAGGCAUCUGUCUUUUGGAAUCUCAGAAGGAACAUAUCUAGAAAAUUCAUAUGCCAUGGUAUCGGUUCCUUGACAACCAACUUUGACUGCGUUCUUGUUACUUUGAACAUCUGCUUGGGUGCUAUCAGCCGGAAUAUUUACAUUCCCCUUUAAACCAUUGUAACUGUAAGGACCACCCUUUGUGUGCUGACGCUUGACUUCUGGAAAUGCUGUUAUCACUGCUAAGCCAAGUUUCCUUUCGUUUAUACACGCAGAUGGAAAUGUUACCUGGGCUUUUGAUUCUAAGCUUUGUACAGGAGUUUUCACCAACCAUAACUUUUAUCAAUCAUAAUGAACUUUUCCAUUAGCCUAGAAAGGUAAUGAUUUUGUUAUUACGGAUAAGAGGACGUUUUGAGCUUACGCUCACUUAAAAUUUUGCAAAAGGUUUUUUCUUAGGCAUUAAACAUCACUGAUUCUUUAUCUGCAAAUAUUUUUUUCAAAAUAAGGGCCAUAAGUUUGUUUUUGGGGGGCUUGAGUCGUAGGAGGUUUUUCGAAAAGAGUCUGGGGAGAGUGACGCAUUCUGGUGUGUUAUUAUAUAGUUUACGGUCAGGAAACCCCAACAGAGCCGAUAAAAUGUCCAGCAACCUAAGCGGGGAAAGGAAUUUCCAGAUUCAAACGUUUCAUCUAACGAUGAGGAAGUUGUAUCGGAAGUGAGAGAACAAAUUUUGAAGACGGGAACGUUGAAAUGAUGUUGCAACCCAAUGAGAAAGAUCCAUUACCACCUUCCUCUGAAGAUGGGUGAACAUGUGGUGGCGAAGCCGACACUUGGCUAAUUAUUCGGAUUUCAAUUCGGAUAAAGAUGAUAAAAAGUUUUUUCAAGUGAGAAAACUGGAUCGAUUUCUGUUGAUUUAUUUAUUCUUUUCUUAACAAGACGCACUUUACAUCCCAAGGUAAGCAGAUAUUUUUUGACGCUGCCUAAGUGUUCCCGUAAAUUGACAUUCGACAUGAAACAUCACAACCUGAUGUGAACUGAUCUUCAACACUAGAGCCAAAGCAAGACAACUAAAUUGACUCAAAACAACAUAAAGAACAAAUUUCUUUUGAGUGUAUACUAAUUUGAAUCGUAAAACUCCAAUAAUCGAAUUCCCUGUACAUCAACAAGCUCCAGGGAAACCCCUGGCUGAAGACACCAGCACAUAGAAAACCCCUAAGUACACUUGUAAAAAUGUUCCGAACCGAUUGAAACUUUGAGAGUUACUAAAAUUAAUGUGCAUAAAAUACAUUUAGUUCCCCCUUGUUUUUUUCUGGUUUGAUGAGAGUAUCUGAAACGCCCCCCGUUCGAGCCUUAUAACAGCUAUCUCGUAUGUCUGUUUUGUUUCCCCAUAUUUACUUCCGUAAAACGAUUCAAAAUCGAUUGAAACUUCGUAGAGUAGCUAGAACUAAUGUACUAAAAAUGAAUUUUGGGUCUUGCUGGCUUUUUCCGAAACUUGGUAGGAUUGUUCAAAUGCUUGUUAUAAUUCUUGUACAUAACGUGUGUUUUGGGUCAUAGGUCGGACGAAGACAAUGGAUUGAAACCGGUCCUGUGUCUUCUCAUGAAUUUUACCCAAUAUCGAUGCUAUUUUUUUCAGCUUUCGGAAACUUUUGCGACUGAUUUUCGGGAAUGUGACUGUUACCUAAACAGCCAGUAUAGUUUUGCUAUGCCCGAUGUCUGCCAUCCUUCAAAAGUACGCAAUAAACUGACCUUGCCGGUGCACGAACACACCAGAAUACGUCACAAAUUCCUGAAAUUCCUCUUUGGCCGCGUUUUUUUAUUCGAACAAAAUCUGACAAAAACAAGUACUUUGGAGCUUGAAAAAAUUAUGUUAACGAAAAGAUAUGCAGGAAAAAGUUACACCAUUCGAUUCAGCACUGCCGGCUCUAUACUAAAAUGAAAUAAAUGGAUUUUAUGAAGUUUUUUCAUUUUUCAUGUCAGUUCCACUUUAAAUUUAUACAAAUAGGAAUGUUUUGAAUGGUUGCUGCAGUAGUUGCUUGCACCCCCCUCUGAAAAUUUUUUGGAAAAAUUGACGCUACACCACUACAGCGACCACUUCCAUGCUAUGAAUGUUAUCCGUCUCGCUUUACAGUUUACACAUUUUACAUUGCACAAAAUGGCUGCGAGGAACAUUGACAAGUUGGUUGGGAAUACUAUUUCCCAUCCUUCUUUUCAAGAAACUUUAAAUAAUGUAUUUAGGGCUUUGCCUUCCACUGCUGAAGUAGCAGUGGCUCGUGCUGGAGCUUCCAGCCCAACAGCUCCGACGAGACCCAUAUUGAAUGACCGGCAGCAAUUUAAUAACGCGCAAGAAGAAUUUUCCUCGAUUUUUAGAUGAGGAAACUCUUUAUACAACCGCCAAAGAUAUAUUGGCAAUGCUUUUAGUACUAGCAUCAGACGGCUUAGUUCUGUGCCCGCAACCCCAUGCACUCGCCCAGCUUCUCUGGGAAGUCGUCGCGCAAGCUCCCAGAAUGGCAAAGGUAGAAGUAAAUUCCGUGUGAAGGAAGUCACAAGUUUCCAAUAGUUGAGCUACUGUAUGCCAUGAAUUGUGUAUCUCAAACAGCUUCGCAAUUUCUUCCUUCUCUAAUGAUUUUCUAGGUCUGCCACAGGCACCUUCAUUGUACUCUUCAGGGCACCUAACAGAGUGUGCAGUCAUUUCUGGUAUGUAGCUUUCAUCAGUAAAGAUGUUACUCUCAACUAAAUUGUGUAGAUUACAAAUUUCUACAAAAAGCUCUCUUAGAUACACACACAAACUUUCAGGUGUUUCUGUUGCACAUUCACACCUCCUAAUGAAAACGCUUAAAACAUGUAAAAAGUCUUGCAAACGUCUAUUCCAAAAUUCGAGCAUAUUCAAAUUACUACUGAAAGCUUGUCGUCGAGCCUGAGAUAGUUGUCCAGGAAGAACAACCAGAAACUGUUGAAAGUCAACUUCGAACGACAUAAUUAAUAUUCGUUGGUAUUGCUUAGGCCAGUCAUUUGCCUCUGGUGCUCAUAAUUGGCGGGAAAUGUCACUGCGCACAUUGUUCGCGCUUAGACCUUAAAUAUUUGCAAGCAAAUUCAGACUUUAUAAUUGCAAACAAAUUCAGACCUUAUAUAUUUGCAAACAAAUUCAGACCUUAUAUAUUUGCAAACAAAUUCAGACCUUAUAUAUCUGAAAUUUCGGAAAACAAUUUAUAAAUGUCAAGUGGACACGCAUUAAGUUAGAGGAAAUAACGUCGAUAUGAAUUGUACAACAGAUUUAUAAUAGAUUUACAAUGACAUCAUAUAUUUUGUAUAAUAGACUUUUGUCCCAUUUGGCGGGGCAUAAAAAGGGCAUUUCAUCCAGAAUCAAAGGUUACUUUAAUUUAUUCACCGUAGUUGAUAUACAUUAUAUCUUUGAAAUUGUUGAAAGGGUUUUUUGAGGAUCAGAAAGAGCCUAGAACCUCUCCACCAAUUUGAAAUAAGAAUCAGCUUUUUGGGAUCUAUCCACUUAAUAAACUAGGCAUAAAAACGAUGAUAUUUACCUAAAAAACUUUUCAAUCGAUUUAGAACCACAGAACAUUUAAAAAAGUCUAUACAAUCUUUUUUUUAAAAAAAAAGUUAUAAGAAAUUUUGUCUAUAAGAAAUUUAUAAGAAAAUUUAUAAGAGCCUCAAAUUUUGUUUAAGAGUCAUUCCAUAUGAAAUCAUCAGAUUUUUUUACAUAUUUGCAACCGACUAUCUCAGAAUAAACUGACCUUGAUAUCAACUGUUGGUAUCAGUGAAAAACAAAAUUUCCUAAAAUUUUGGAUCAAAUCUUAACCAGUUGCAAAGUUAUGACAAAUUAAAACAAUCAUGAAAUAUGGGCGUGGCAGUUCAACAAUUUGAAUGUACACUGUGAUUUUGAAAAUUUGUGGCAUAUGCAAAUUGAUAUGAAGAAUCCAGAAAUGGCAUUAGAAAUAGCAUAGUUUUAAUAGUUUAUCUUUUAUUCCACUGUAAAAUGGCUAAUAUGAUUUUCCCAAACACGAUGAUCUGAAAUGUUUGAGUGGCUAUUUUGAGAUGUCUCCAAGUUAGUCAACAGUUUUCCUGUAUAUUAUUUUGAAGAGCAAUUCAUUUAUAUUUUGUACAUUUUCAUUCAUAAUGUCAUAAGUUCUUCCAGUCUUUGAUACUGUAGCUUCAAUUGGGCAUAGAACAUCUAGCUCUGAAACUAGCAAACAUCUUCUCUUUGGGCCAGUGAAAACUUAUACAUGGUCCUGGAGGGUGUAAGAAACUAAUUUUGAAGUCAUUCUCUUGCAUAGAAACUUCCUGAACCAUUCCUAUCCAUCACUUCUUAUCGUAUCUACAGGCAACAAAGUCACUUGCCUUCACGGAGGUGAUAGAAAGGAAUUUGCCUUUUUCACCAGAUAUGUUAAAGGUACCUAAAAAAGUAUCCUCUUCAGCAGUGUAUUUGAAGGCAAUUGUACUUGUAGAUACUGGCUCAAAGGAGUGGUAACUUCUAGUUCCAGGAAUGGUGCGACCAAGAGAAAACCUGUCCUUCUUUUCAAAAGAAAAUUAUUUUCUGUCACUCUUCCCUUUGAAAUGAACAAUGUUUGAAUGCUUUGAAUAUUACUUUCACAAAAUUCAAGCAGUUUAGCCACAUUGAGUAUUUCGUCAGAAGAUGGUUUCUGUAAACUUGCACGUGAUGUGAGUCUCUUUACUGUGCCCCGAAUACCAUCAAAUGGCGAUUUCCCAUGGCUGGUUGCAAAAAAAGACCAAGUUGCAUCCAAACCAAAGUCAUCCUUAUGACUGCACAAAUUCAUCAUGUUUUUGUAAUUCUUAUAUUGUGCAGCACAACCAUCAGAGAAAUACCACCCUUUAGUUAUAGAUAGAAGUUUAAUCUUUAAUGAUACUUGUAAGCCUUCUCUGCACCUCAAAAGCAAAGUUUGUGUCAUGUUCUAGGUCAUGAGACAAAAAUCAAAAGGAACGACUCAAUAACUCUGCAUUUUGCUUGUAGUAUAAAACUACUGGGUGUAAUGUGCAAUAUGGUCUACUCCAGUGAUAUGAUUGCACUUCAUCUUGUACAGCAAAAGUAUAGUUCUCUGCAAAGUCGCCUAGAACUAUUGCAGUUCCUUCAGUGAUCUCCUUUUUCCUUGCUUCGAGGUUAAUUGCCUGGCACUUAGCUAUAUAUGAAUGUGGUGUUAGGGCAACUAUAGUUUCAACAAACUGCUCAUCAAAUUCGCCUACAGGCAUCGUUGGUGUGAACAUCUUGGUUCUGUCUGUUGUUUGCCAUUGUUGAAAACAUAUAUCAUCUUUAUCUGUUAAUGCUGUUCAACAUGAGAUCUAAGGGCUUUCUUUCCUGAGCAUUUGUUACAUCUAUGAAUCAUACAUGUCCUGUUUGCCUUGCUACACAAAAUCAUAUCUAUCAUUUCUUUAUAAUCCAAGUCAAGCGUGGCUGCUUGUACCAUCAAGAUAGCAUUCUGGUGAAGAGUACAUACACAGACAGAAUGUGUACCACUGGCACCAGCUGUGACACACCAUUUAGGUCAAAGAGAGCAAACCUUUGAAAACUCAAUGGUAACAUCGGGAUGAUGUUGUUUAAAAGUACAUAGAGCUCUUUCAUAUUGCUGAGAAGUGAUCUUUUUUGUUCAUGAUUAUUUUUACCCACACUGACUGAAUCUUUCAUACCAGGCACCAGUCUUGAAAAAGAAUCAUCUUGGAAAAAGGAAGUGAGAAGGUCAAUUACACUUUUUUGCAAAGUCCUACUCCCUGUUUUCUUUUUUUGCAUAGCUAGUUUACCACAUGAAGCUCUUUUUCCUCUUGACUGUCUUACAAAAUAUUCAGAUACCCCAAAAAAGGAGAGGGAUAUGCAACUGCCCAGGAUUCAGGUGUGAGGGUUAGAAUUUGAACUUUUUCCCUAUUGUUUAGCAUGGAAUUUUCUCUGACCGUGAAACUGAGGAUUCAAUUUCAGAAAUAUCAGCAUCCACAGUACUAUCAGAAAUUUGAAUGUAAGAUGGUUCAAUAUCAAAAGCAGAAGGUUGUUCAUUACACUGUGCCAUGCCAUAACAAUUCCUUUAAAGCUGCCAACCAGGAACACAUUCAAGAUUCUGCAUUGACAAUUUAGAUGCCAAGUCCAGUGAGAUCUUGUGGCCACCCUUAACUGUAGUCUUAUGUACUUUGAACAUGUUGCAGCUGACAAUUUUCGCCCAAACAUAGAGCCAGAGAAAAAUGAUGGAAACAUUUGGUUCUUCGCAAAGAAUGGCAAUGGAAGCAAAGCACUUAUCAUAUGAAGAAGGUGUAAUGGCAACUCCUAACCCAAAGACUGGAAAACGAUGGCCAGAAACAACAGUAGCACUUGUUGAAGAAUUUUGUAAGAGAUGAUACAAUCAGUAGAGUAAUGCCAGGAAAAAAGGAUUAUGUUAGCGUUGUCCAAAACGGUUUAAAGUAUCAUCUUCAAAAAAGAUUAGUUUUAGGAAACCUUAAAGAAAUAUUUCAAAAAUUCAAAGAACAGCACCCAACAAUGAAAGUAGGUUUCUCCAAAUUUCCAAUGUUGUGUCCGAAAGAAUGUGUACUUGCUGGAGCAAGUGGAAGUUAUUCUGUAUGUGUGUGCAUUGCUAAUAACAAUGUAAAAUUGAUGAUGCAUGGUUCAUAUGCAAUCCACCCUUACCACAAUGCCAUUCAACAAGUGUGAGAGCGUCUCUUAAAGAAAUACUCAGUAAGUAUUACAGUGACACGAGCAUUGAUGAGAUACAGUUUAAGCAGUGGAUUUCAACAGAGGUCAAGCCUGGAAACACUUAUCACACCUACAGAGGACUUUAUUGAUAUUUUUGUAGAAAAACUGGAUCAUCUUAAACAGCAUGACUUUUUAGCUAAACAACAAUCUGCAUAUUUGAAAAACAGAAGAGACUCUUCAAGAGGGGCAAGUCAUCAGAAAAUUAUUUUCUUUGUCAUUCAAGAUCAGGCUCAUUCCUUUCAUUGGAGUAAGUCAAUGGCUACAUUACAUCCAUUUGUGUAUUAUCAUCAAAAGGAAGAUGGAUUCAACAAAGUAAUUUUGUGUCAAUAUCUGAUUGCAACACACAUGACACAACUGCAGUCCAUUUGUUUUAGAGGCACUUAAUAAAGCACUUAAAAGAUAAUUUUUAUCCAGUAGCAAAGAUUGUUUACUUCUCUGAUGGCUGUACAGGCCAUUUUAAAAACCUUAAAAAUUUUGCCAACAUUUGCCUGCAUGAGGAGGAUUUUGGAGUUCCAGCAGAAUGGCAUUUUUUUGCCACUAGCCAUGGCAAGGGUCCAUCUGAUGGAAAUGGAGGAACAAUUAAGCGUGAAGCAACUCGUGCAAGCCUUCAACACCCUUUUGACAACUUGCAACUGUUCAAAUUUGUUGAUGAGCAUCUUAGUGGAAUUAAUUCAAAAUUAUUAACAAAUGUUGAUUGGAAGGUAGAGGAUGAACAUUUGCAGGAGAGGUAUAGAUGGGCCAGAGCAAUCGCAGGAACUCAUAAGCUACACAGCUUUAUACCUGUUUCAGAGUCUUUGAUGCAAGUUGCUACAUACAGCCUUAGCGAAGAAUGGCAGAAAGUAUGUAUUUUUAAGUCAGGUCAGAAGACCCUGGAUAUUGGACUUAUCCAUGGCUAUGUAACAGUGGUAUAUGACAAAAAGUGGUGGGCUGCUUAUGUUAUCCAGGUAGCUCCAGAAAAGAAUUCAUUGGAAGUGAGUUUCCUUCAUCCCCAUGGCCCUCACCCUUCGUUCUAUUUUCCAAAGCCCUAAAGCCUUGUCAACAUCAUUUCCUCAUCCUCUGAUACAAGGAGACAGAUUCAUGUGUUUUUAGAUGUAUGUCACAUGCUAAAGUUGGUGCGAAACAGUCUUCCUGAAGGUGCAUGAUGCUCGAUCAAGAGGGGAGGAAAAUUAACUUGCAAUACAUAAAGGGGGUAGAAAACCUUCAAGAAUAGCAAGGGCUAAGACUGGGCAACAAACUGAAAACAGCCCAUAUUAGAUGGUACCAGCAACAAAUGAAGGUGAACCUAGCUGCUCAGACCUUUGGCAGUAGUGUUGCUGACGCAUUAGAGUAUUGUAAUUCUGUUUUGAAACUGGAACAACAGUAAAGUUUAUCAGGAUUAUUGACCAUCUCUUUGAUGUCUUGAAUUCAAGCAACCCUUUUGCCAAGAGGUUCAAAUCUGCUCUUAGGGUUAAUAGCCAAUGUAUUUGGGGGCCAUUUUUGUCAGAAGCUCAUCAUUACAUCAUAGCCCUUAAAGAUGCAAGUGGCAAACUGAUGCACUCCACAAGAAGAAAAACUGGUUUUCUUGGAUUUCUUGUAGCCAUCAAAAGCAUUCAGUAAAUUUUUGCAGAGCUGGUCGAUGUCCAAGAUCCCCAAUUAAAAUACUUCAUCACAUAUAAGUUUAGCCAAGAUCACCUAGAGCUUUUCUUCUGCGCAGUAAGAGUAUCUGGUAGGUUCAACAACAACCCCACAGUACAGCAAUUUGUUGCAUCAUACAAACGCCUCUUACUCCGAAGUAGCAUAGAAGGGGGCAAUGGUAAUUGUCAGAAGCAGGAUCCAACAGCUAUUCUGCAAGUUAUUGGUGAUACCUGCAAUAUACAAGGACAAAAUACGAUUAUUUCCAAAGCUGCAUUAGCCUGUAAGUGUGACAUGAUAGAGAGAGCACAAAUGAAAAGUGAUCAUGAUUAUGCUGAUGCUCCAAAUACAUAUCAUCUGUCAGAAUUUAAGAUUGCAGCCCUUUCAUAUUUCGCUGGGUUUAUUGGGAAAAUGACAGACAAGGAAACAUCCUGUAUUAAAUGCAAAGCUGUUCUAGCGAAGCUCUGUCCAAAAUCAAUCUUUAAGCAGUUUCCUAACAUUUAAGGACAGAGGGGGACAUUCAAGCCCACAACCAGCGUUUUCAACAUAUGUAAAGAAGUAGAAAAUGCUUUCAACGAAUGUUCAAAACAACAGAUGGCGAGUUACCUCAGAGUAAACAAACAUAUUUAGGGAGCUAGACAACCACAUGACAGAAACAGCAAUCGAGGAUAAUCACAUUUUUGCACUGAUCAAGAUAGUGGGAAGUGGGAAUGAACUACUGCAAAGUCAGGCUUUAUCAUCUAGGAAAGCAGUAUUCAGAAAAGUUGUCCUCUACAAAAGUCAGGAAAAAGUUGUCCAAGCUUUUCCUGUUCAACCAGUAGUAAAUUGCUACGAGCCUACAAUGUCAAACAGCUUUUUUUAAAGCUACCAGCAAAACAGAUUUUUUUAAGAACUACCAAAAACGCCAAGUUACCAUAACAAAGUUAACACACAAUCGAAACAGAUUGCCCCCUUCCAUUCUGUGAAUUAAACUAAUACAGUUCCAAAUAACCAAGCUAAUUACCUGGGAAUCACAAGUCGUGUCAAUGAAUAGUUGAGAAUACACGAAAGUUAUGAUAAACAACAUAAAUAUUACUAAUUUAGCUUAUGGACACAUGGAAAAUCUAAAGACAGAGCUAUCAAAGCCAUGUGCCCAAAAUAGGAGCUGCGAGCCAAAAUGAGGCCCAGGCACAUGAACAGUGAUUUCAAUAUUUGAAGAUUCUGUGCACAAAAACAUUUUAAAUAGCUUGCUCUGAAAGCAUAUAAACAACAAUGCUCACCACUCUUCCAUAAUCGAAAUGAAACAUUGCUUCUUUCUUAACCUUAUGCUUCUUUCUUUUCAUCAAACUAGGCUGCUUCUUUUGGGGCUCUCUCGGUGGAUGGCUACACUCCAGUCACAAUAGAAGCUCGAUCCAGUCUUUUUGAUAGAUCAGUGAUCAUGAUGCAUAGCUGUAAAAACGCGAUGUGCACGCAGAUUCUCAAAUUAUGCCAACCAUAAUUGGUCAGCUUCACGAAGCGCUGCAUCGUGCUGCGUACAGUGUGAAUUGAGCUUUAGAUGUGGAAAAAACCUUAAGAACUCUCAAGAUUCUAUUGUUAUAUUCUUAUAGCACUGUUAUUUGCAUUUCAUAUUUUUUGCAAAAUAACGUUUAUUUCUGAAAAAAUCUAAAAUGUUUCUUCAUACGUAUGUAUUACAUAUUUUAUUUAACAUGAUAACAAAGUAACGAACAUUAUCAAUAUUUUGUUAAUACAUUAAAAGCAUUAUGAUAAUUGUAUGUCUUUUAUGUGAUUAUACUAAUCGAUGGUGAUGAUAUAGCAUAAUACACUCGUUUCAAACCAAAGUAUUCUGAGUGGAAAAUCAAAAGUCUUGUUUACAAGCUGGCAAGCUCCAGCAUCCCUGUGACUAAAAUCAAUCAGUCUCGGUUGAAUUCACUCAUCAAUGUGAAGAAAAUUUUGUUGAUACAUCGUUUAUCGUCACUGUUACAUCCUGUACUUUCAGUAUCCAAGAGAAACUAUGAUUUCAUCGAAUUAGAAUCUCUUCAAAAGCUUCGACCAUCCAUCAGAGCAUUUUCUCAGCCACUCUAAAUAUACAACAAACUCUUCUACAGACUACAUUGACUACAAAACAUUUAGCAUCCAGUUAAAGGGAAACCUUUUAAAAAAAUUACAUCAAAGUCAGCACUGAGGAUUUUAAGCAAUAUUCUUACAUUUUGAUAUUGAAAACUGCCUGGUUUGCUUCAAAAGUGUCAGGUUUGAAAAAGGUCAAGGGCAAAGGUACACCGAAUGAGUUUGACAUUUAGAUUUUCCAUCUUCCCUGCCCAGCUAGAAAAUCAUACCAAUUUUAGAGUUUCUUGACCGGAUGUCGAUUUUCUAAUUGUGACUAGCAUUCAUACCUGAGAGAACAGUAUCUAUUAACGCCCAGUGUUGCUGACAAGCAGAACAAAAUUUUUCAAACCCUACCCAAAUUUGAAGAAUAGGAGUAUAGCGACAAAAGUUAUGAAUGGAUGUGUAGCUGGCAUGGACAGUGACAGUGAAGUGGAAAGUUUGGUACUGUUACGAGACGGAACUUCCUUUUACACCAAAUCAAGCAAAUCUGGUAAGAUUCGUGAUUACUUCUAUUGAAUUCUAUCUAGAAUACCUAAAGGACUGAUGCCUCAAAGCUAGUUUCUGUUGAUUUCCAAAUUAAUGAUACUUUCCCUUUCUUAGACCUCAUUUAUAGCUUAAUCUUGAUAGAGAAUUAUUAAUUUUUACAAGGUUGAAUAUAUUUAUGUUCAUUGCAUCAAGCUUUUUAUCUCUAUAUCACCCAAACUUGCUUCAUUGGAUUUAAUUUGAAAAGUUUAAAUCAGAUUGAUUUGUUAAAACAGAUGCCUGCUGUGAAUGCGAAAAAGAAUCUGACUUGACAUUGUCAGACUCUUCUGCAAGUGAUGAAGAUUAUGACGCUGAUGAUGAGCAAGAAGAAAAAUUUGGUAAGAGAAAUGACUUCUUUUGGCUUUUAAAUAAAUGUAUUGCCAUCAUAACAAGCACUGUAAUUUUGUCGUAGAGAAGUUAAUUUUGUUUUUAAAUGGCUACUACCACAAGUUUUUUGGGAACCUAGUGUUUCAUGCUGAUCACUCAUUAUUGUUUCAAUAAAUAAGCAUCUUUUUUUCAGGCUAAAACCAUAAAAGAUGGGUUCAAAUGUGAGCAGUGCUUAAAAAUUUGCAUGUCUAAACGCGGACUUUCAAAGCAUUUUGAUUUGAAACAUGAGCAACAAAAAUUUGAUGUGAAUGAUAAGGUCAAAGAUUCACCUACAAUACACAAUUUCCAACUGUAAAGCAUAAUUGAGAAAGCAGCUCUUAGGCUUAGUCGGGAUGAAUGUUUCAGCCUCUUGGAACGUGAUGUAUUUGCCAAGUUCUCAAUAACAGUAGAACAAUUCCUAUUGAUUUGAGACAAAAUUAUUCCAAUUGUUAAAAAUUUCAAAGGGGAUGAUGAAGAAUUCCUUAGUAACUUUUUCAAGCUGAUGCUACCAAAGCAGCAAAUUUUCAGUGGGCUACCAGUCCUCCACUCAAACUUGCUGUGUUCAGAGAUGGCUAGCUUAUGUCUAAAGCAGCCAAAGGAUGCUGAUCAGCAAGGGAAAGAAGAGAUGCUUUUCUUUGUCCGAAAAAGUAUUGCAUGAUCUGUCAUAUCUUGCUGGAUAUUAUUGUCGUACAAUAUACUGUAGAUUGCGACAGUCCCAUUCUUGGAGGUCUAUCGCCAGCCAACAAUCUUGGCAUUUUGAUGGCUACAAAAUAUAUGGAGGAUGAUACCCAGAAACUUGUCAACAUUAGGGACCGUGGUGCACUAUGACGAGUAAACUAAAAGGCACAGAAGAUUUUCAUGGUUUGUGAGCAAUCUUUUUGCACAAUGACAUCAAAAUCAAAGACAUGCAUAGACAGUACAUUAAUGGUUAAAAAAGUAAUGCAGGAUAACAUUGUCCAAUCAAACUUCAAAGAUAUAUGCAGAUCUACUGAUGUUGUUGUUGACAAGGAAGUGAGCAAAAACUUGCUUGAAUGUCUAGUGCUACUGUAUGCGAUGGUUAGGGCACAUUCUCAUGCAAAAUCAAUAAAAGGAAAACACAAGGCAGCUAAACAAAGAAGAAAGCAACAAUCUUUACGCAAAGGAAUUAAACAGUCUAGCUCAAGCACAGACAUGGGACAUUGAGAUUAUUUCUGAGUGAACUCUGAAACAUUACUUAUUAAAACUUAUUAAAACACUCAAACACAAUGCUUCUUACAGCUCUGAAAGUAUCAAAAUUUAUUUCCCUCAAAAAUUCAUUUUUUAACAAUUUUGAUGAGAGCCUCAUUUUUGGGUUUGUUAUGAUACUUCAGUCUGAAAAUGAUGAAGAGCCUUUUUUCACCUUUGCAUUUUGUCAUGUAACCUUUGAACUUUAUUGAGAAGAUAUUUUGUGCAUUCAAUUAAUGUGAGACAUGUGAUCUAGAGACCUUCAUAUGUUUGCCAUGAAAGAAAUAUCUUUGCCUUUGCAACAGCAUCAAAGUUUCCAACUCGAUUUUCAACAGAGCUCUUCCAAUUUGCAAGGUAACCAAGAAACUCUUCUUGAAGCCACAAAAAUCUUUCAUCCUCUACUGAGGAGUAUGGCUUCAGGAUAUCUUUCGUUUUCAAUGUAUGUUCAGUAGUAUCACGGACAUUUAAACAGUCAAAGAAGUGACCAUCAUCAAACAGAACUUUGAUGUUAGCUGACACUCAGGCCCACCAUAACUUUGGAGAACAGAACUGACAGUCGAGCUAAGAACCUGUGCAGCUAACCCCACUCGCAUUACUCAGUAUGAUGUAAGAUUGAUAUGAUCAUUAGUCAAACCUGGUAGCAGCCUGAGCCCUCAAUUGGCAUCUUCAUAAUACAGUUUUGAUAUGUGGUCCCAUAAUGAAAGGCACCAUCAUUCCACAUUAAUUUGCUAUUUCUAACCUGCUUCCGAGUUGGCAAGAAAAUUUCUGGCAGUUUUAAUCAAAUGUGGAGCAUCAUAGAAGAACCAGAUAAAACGUUGUUCACUUGCCCUGUAGACAUGAAUAAACCUGGGCUUGCAAAAUGUUUUUAAGCAACUUUCAAACUUGCCUCUACAUGACAAAUGCAAUGUAUAAUAUUGAUAGUAUGCAAACUUCUAUUAACAGAAGACUAGCCCGCUGUGAGGGCUUGCCAGGGGCCCAAUUUUUUAAGAAUUGCACCAACAUGAAUGGCCUUAUAUUAUAAUUGCAGGAUUUAGGGGAAAAUAGAAGGGCAAGAAAUGCAUAAUGCGACAGUGCUAGCUGAACAUGCUGUAACUAUUAGUAACAGUUCUGUCAAUGAUUUAGGCAAUGUCAUUGACAUGUCAAUGACAAUGGAUUAGAUCUACUUGCUGAUUGUUGUACCAUUCAAUAUUCUGAACCAGAGCAGGAGCAAAGGUUUCCUUUUUGUUAUGUUUGCUACAAGGCAAAAUCUGCUUACCUUGAAAAUUUCGUAUUCGAUUCUGUUUCCUAUUUUGCCAAAUGCGAAAUAAUGUGUAUGUAACAAGCAGAAAAUUGGAUAGACACCAUAUCUAAACCUUGUGACCCCCCACCCACCCCGUCUCGGUUUAUUUCCCUUAUUUCAAACCUUGCUCUUGCCUGUUCCACAAUGAUAUCUGCUUUAAAUAAAUUGAAUUUGGAAUAAAACAGCUUGGGGCUAUUAGGGAAACUCACUCUACAUUGCUGUUUCUCGUUACUGUAAAGUGGUUUAUUCCAGAAUAUUUGACAAUUGCCAGAUUUAUAACAGAUUGAAAAGAGAUUUAAAACAGUACAUAAUCCUUACAGGAUAUCACACAGCAACCCCAGAAGAAGAAACGUGGAUGUGGCAGAAAAGAAUACAUUCCAAAGCAGAGCAAGCAAAGAGUUUUUGAUAAGAGGCAAGAAGAGCAGUUAAGAAGCAAUGUAAGGAGCAUUGAAUGUUUUUGUUUUAUUGGUAUGAAAUCUGCUGUUUUUAUUUAGAGUUGAAUUUACUGAUUAAUGCAUUUUUUUGCUAAACAUUCCUCUACCUCACUGGUUUCUUAGCGUCUUCUAAAAGCUGUACCAAAUGACCUAAUAUGUUGUUAUUUCCUAUACAAUAGCUUAUCAAAUGGCUGAAGAGAACAAACAUGCCAGUGGUUGCAUUAAGUAUGUCAUCAGAUCUUACAGUUAAUUACAUAGGAGCUGAAUGGUUUGAGGAUUUUGUUAAGGAUCCUUAUAUCAGGGACAAGUUUGUAGAUGUUGCUGUCAAAGAUAAGAUUGAAGACGAGAUAUUUUAGCAGUAGAGAAUUCAACAGAUGUGAAUUAAAUUUUCAUUUUAAGUUUAAAUUAGAGUCAAAAAUUUUUUUUCUUAACUGGUUUCCUUAACUUUAGGGUUGAAAAAGUUUUAUGAGCAUUAAGAGAGGAAUGAAACUUCAGAAAUUCCUGUUAAUAUGGAGACUGAGUCUACUGAAGGUAUAAAUUGCUGUGUAUUAUUAUAUGCAUACACAGUAUACUUUGUUUUUCAAAGUAACUACGUACAUUAACAUUACCAUUAUAACAUUAUCAGGCUAUUUUUUAAACUGUAACCUCUGUUCAUAUAUCAUUCAAGUCUGUAGAAAUACUACUGGAAUAUCAAUCUUUAUCUAAUUGCAUAUUUCUGUGGAUUGGUGGGUGAAUUUCAUGUGAUUUAAUUUUCUGGUGUUGAAAAAUAAAUUCUAGUAUACUGGUAUUCUUCUGCAGCUUUACUUCUAAAUUUAUUAUUUUCUGUUUCAAGUCUCUAGCCAAGCAUUUUUCUAUAUCUUACGAAACAUCUUAAAGCCUUUGUCAAAAGCACACUUAAAAUUUUUCAAAAAUGGGCAAAAUUAUAGGUAUUUCUCUUGAUGUUGGUGUCAAGCAUAAUUGCUUGCUGAUGAUGUUCUAAGACAUGAUGUGCAUCAGAAAAGUAUGCCGAUUGGACAUAUUGCGAGGAGGAAAGGUAAUCAUACUAGUACUUUGAUUUUGCUUUUAUUGACUAGGGUCUCAAUAAAAUAAAUAAUCUUGGUUUAUCAUGAUUGCUUUACUAAUUAUUGAACAAUUGCGACAGUACAAAAUUGAAUUGCUUAUCAUACAAUCUGAUCAUACAAUAUUAUAUUUUACAACAUACAUCUAUAGAGAGUUUAAGACAUCAGAAUCAAGCCAGAAAAUAGAAACAUUGCUAUGCUAGGCCCUUGAGCCCUUGAGCUUUUUUAAAAAGGUUGACUCACCUUUUCUGUAAACUUGACUUACCUUACUUGACUUGUUUCACAAUGACAAUUAGUUCCGUUAAUUUCAAUCAACAUUUUGAUUGACAAACUAGCUUUCUUGCACAUAGCAUGUAGUUCCAAUAUCUAUUUAUAUUUUAACAGA